AAAGUGCGAAAACUAGUGUGAAUUGCAUUUUUUGUGAAUCAUCGAGUCUUUGAACGCAACCUGCGCUCCGGGCCUAGGCCCCGAGCAUGCCUGUUUGAGCAUUGAUACUCCAUGCACCCUGUGCGAAUGUGAGGCUUGCAUGCCGCAACGCUUGAGCCUCAAACUGCGGCGGCCCCGCGGAUGCGAUGAAUCUUCCUCGGCGGGGCACAUCCAUUCACUCUCAAAUCAGGUAGGACCACCCGCUGAACUUAA
rnacentral:misc_RNA from 1 species